AUUGACCUCAAAUCGGGUGAGACUACCCGCUGAACUUAAGCAUAUCA
rnacentral:rRNA from 1 species